CUGUUUUUAGCAUUAAUAUAUUUGUUAAUUUCGUAUGUGUUUAAAAAUUCAUUUCUGAAAACUGCAUAAGCGUCUAUGCCUUUUUGUUUAUAAUUUGAUAUAUGAGUACUUUUAUGAAUUGAAUAUAUUAAGACAGUUAGGAAGAGAUUUAUAUCAUUAUACAUAGGAUCAUGUAUUUUAUAGCCCAGUACUAAAGUUUUAAAAUUAAAAAUAUGUGACCCAAUUUUGAUUUUGCUUACAAGUACAUAUAUUUUCUUCCAAAAUUCAUGAAAGAAUUGACAUUUGAGAAAAAAGUGUUCGUAAUCUUCAGUCAAGUUACACAAGUCACACAUACUUGUUUCUUGUAUGUGCCAUUGUAGUAAUAAUUGUUUACAUGGGAGGAUGUAAUGGAGUAAUUUCCAUCUUAACAUUUUAUAUUUGUUAUUAAUUAAAUAGGUAAAAGUAAAUUGUAGCACAUUAUUUAUUGGAGUGAUUGAUUCUAGAUUGAAGAUGUUUUUCCAUUUGGAGAAUCCUAUUGGUCUCUCAUCAUUUUUGUUAUUUAAAUGGUUAUAUAUAUCUUUGGAUGACAUAUUUUCAAUUAAUUCUGUUUUUUUGUUAACAGUCAAGGACAAGUUUAAUUUUGUUUUUACAAAAGUUUUCAAAGAUUUGUCAGAUUUUAAUGUACUAACCCAUUCUUUCGGAAUACAAUUUUUCAAUUUUAAAAGUUCAGAGAUCCAAUUAGUUUUUGAGGUUAGUUUCUCCAAUAUAACUUUUUGUGAUAUGUGCCCUUUUUGAUCAAUUAUAUCAUUAAUGAAAAUAAUACCAUCUUUUAUCCAAUUUAGGUAAACUAAACAUUUUCCUUUAAAUUUUAUAUUUUUAUUACCCCACAACAUUUGCUGCCUAAUAUUUCUAAAAUUUAUGAUUGGUGUAUUACUUGUUGGUGUAUUAUUUGCUUUGUACCAGCUCUUUAAUAUGUUCAAGUAAAAUGAGGGUAGUACAUUACUUAAAUUAGGUAAUGAUUUUAUGUUGUCUGGCAUCAUAUGAAAUAUAAGGUUGUUUUUACCAAAUUUA
rnacentral:lncRNA from 1 species